rnacentral:lncRNA from 1 species
GACCCUGUCUUAAAAAAAUAAAAAAGAAUGGCAAUCAUAGCUAGCAUUUAUUGAGCACUUACUAUGAGCCAGGAACUAUGGUAUUAGAAUGUGCAUUAUUUAAUUGUUAAAAGAAGAACGUUAGGCAAAAUUAAAUUUAACAGAGUUGACUUGAGCAAAGAACGAUGCUCAAAUCAGGCAGCCCCUCAACCAGAAUAGGCUCAUCAAAACCACUCAGCAAUAAAAAGGAACUGAUACGUGCAAAAAACACAGGGAAGAAUUCCAGAAACAUUAAGCAAAAUAAGUCAGACACACAUACAAGAAAAUACAUACUGUAUGAUCCCAUUUAUACGAAUUCUAUGAACAGACAAAACCAGUUGAUAGAGAUAGCAUUCAGAAAAUGACAGUGGGAGAGGAAGAGGAAUUGAUGGAAAGGGGGCACCGGGUAAUGGGAGUGUUCAACAUCUCGACUGUCAAACCUGAGUGGGCACUCAAGAUUUGUUCAUUUUAUUGUACAUCAAUUAUGCCUCACUUAAAGAAAAAAAUACCAGUGCAGGGUCUUACUUGCCAGAUUCAGAUUUAAUGGGUCUGGGCUGGAGCCAGAACAAGGUUGUUUGAAAGAGCCCCCACGUGGUCCUAACGUGCAGCUACAUUAACCACCGUCUAGUCCAGAUCUUCACUUCCUCUUCCAUUCAGCUCUAUUUCCAUCUCUACCAGAAAAGUCUAGCUGGCUGGGCCUUAGGCAUCAGCUCUGGCAGCCCCUGAACUUCUCACAGGAGAAAAUGUAGCUCUGGUUGAAGGUGUGUUUGGCAUUCUAAGAGACUUGCUCGUUAUUUAUAAUUAAAAGAAUGGCAAGCAUAGCUAGCGUUUAUCGAGCACUUAUUAUGAGCCAGGCACUGUGGUAUUAGAAUGUACAUUAUUUAAUUGUUAAAAGAAAAACUUUAAACAAAUUAAAUUUAACUUGAGUUUCACUGAGCAAACAAUGAACCUCGAAUCGAGUGCCCCCCGCCCCCAACCAGAAUAGAUUCACAGUGACUCUGGGGGCUGCUGCAUGAUUCGAUAAUAUUCGUGGACAGGAAAAGGAAAGUGACCCACAGAAAACGGAAGUAAGGUACAGAAACACCCGGAUUGGUUACACCCCCGGCGUUUGCCUUAUUUGGACAAGGUUUGACAAGUGGGCUGCCUUUCAUUGGCCAAAACUCUGUGAUUGCUAUAAAGGUAGGUUAUAGUGUGUUUACAUAUCUAGUUAGGUGGCAGUUCACUAUGCAUGAAGAAACCUUUAGGACAAACUUUAAAAAUGUAAAGAGGCAACUUUAGGCUAAAACUUAUUUAACAUGAUUUAAUCUUCAGUGUAACACAGUAUACCGUUAGCCACUGUUAGCUAACACAAUUGUCAUUCCCUUUUCCAGGUGAAAAACCUGAGGCAUGAUGACUUAUUCCAGUUGGCACAGCUAGCAAAUGGGUCAGACAGCACUCCAACCACCACACUGCCCUCUGGUCCGUCCCUGCUACCUCUGGCUAUUUUAGGAGGGCCACAUGGUGCCCCAGAAAGAGCACCCAAGCCAGAACCUCUCUGAGAUGUAGGGCCUGGUGUUCCAGCCACACACUUUCUGUCUGUGUAACUCGGGGAGCUCUCUCUGGGAAACUGCCCCUUGCUUCACCCACUCCUGGCCUCCUGCUGUGCCAUUUCCAGGAAAGAAGCUACCAUGACCUCCUUCAUUGUUCAAGAACCCCAAGUUCUUGGGUCCAGCCUAAACCGUUCCUGGGACUGGAUGAAAAAUAUGUCUGUGGGCUCUGUUUUCCAUGACUGUAGGACAGGACGUCCCACCCUUUCUUAGUCCGUAACGCACCUUUGGACAUGAUGGAAUAUACGAAGGGGCCUCCACCCACAGCAUGACCAAUCCCCAGCAUCCAAAAUCGCACACAUACCAAUAUGUGCACACACACACUCACACCCACACCCAUAAAGAUUUUGCACUCCUUGAAGGUACACUAACUCACCAUUUUUAUCAUACUUAUCCCAGUGUGCCACAGUUACUGGCUUAUAUGCCUGUCUCUGCUAUCUUAUUUUAUCUGUCUCCACAACACAGCAAACUACCUGGCCUUCAAUAAAGGGCUUAUGAAUUAUUCAUGAAUCCAUUUUGCCAGGUGCCUAGCCCUGUGUCUGGCUUGAAGCAGGUGUUCCCAAGGUGUGGCAUGGCUGAGUGAAUACAAAUAAAAGGUAUACAAAAGCACUCAGCCCUGCCCUCCUCUCUUCUCCACGCUUACCACCUGCUCCGGUUUCCAGACCCAACAUUGGCAAAGAGCACCGAUGAAACCCAAAAGUUCAGGACACACCCAAGCACGUAAAGGUCAGGCACCUGGGCAGGUCAACAGUGCAGCAUUUUAGCCUGGGUCUUUUGGGGGAAGAGCUUCACAAGGAGCUGCUCUCUAGCCUGACCCAUUCUCCUUGUUCUGUAAGGCCCCUGCCCCCAGCCUUUGGGCUCACUUGCAGCCCUAACCUCCACGAUCCCCCUCUUUGCUUUCUCCAUAAUAAAUUCCCCUUCUAAACAAAGACUGACAGCACCACCUCCACAGCACCUGCACGGUCUCGCCUCCCCUCACCUAGCCUCACCCCUCCAUCAGACUCUCCUGCUGAGGUGGACGAGGUCUUAUACUUUGCUGGCAUCUUGCUCCAGAAAAGGGAUGCAGCUGAGCACACCCCUGCCCUUUUGCAAGCACUCCCUCCCACUUGCAGGAGGGAGAAGGGAAUGGGAGGGAAGGAGAAGAGAGGGCAGGGGAGGGCAAUGCUGCUCCAACAACCACACUCUGGGUGAGCCUGGGGUGCUAGGAUGGCUCCACUGGGCAGGGACGCCAGUCCAGUAAGCUGGAGGCUCCUCAUUUUGCCAGCAGUGAGCUCUACCUGGGACAGGGGUGUCAGUUCCCACCCUCAGGUCUGAGGCUCUGCCUGCCCAGUGAGCACCUCAGCACCCUGGACCACCCUUCCAGGCGCAGGCACCAGGGAAGGGGCAGAGGGACU